GGAAUAUGCCCAGGUAUUGCAAUCUGCUACAGUACUUUAUGCAGUUUUUAAGGGGAUUAAGCUCCUACUGUCUGCCAUUGAAUCGAUUUCCGAGGGAGGAGGGUACUCAUUUAUAGUUACAAGUUGUGCCUCAGCUGUAAUAGUUCUCUUGCCCAUUAUAUGGAAUUACCAGAGGCGACUCAAAGAGAACAGGUCUGAGACAACUGCUGAAGGAACUGGCACAGCUGAAAAUCAGGGGGACAAAAGUUCAACCACGAAGAACAAAAUUAGUUCAGAAAUUAAAAUUUAGUUAAUAAAUUACAUUUAAGUUUUGAUUUUUAA